CCUUGAAGAGCGUUAUGUCAAACGAAAGUAGUCUAGUCUAUAGAUGUAAAUUUAUGGAUAACAAAAUCGGACGCUAUGAAUAAGGAA
rnacentral:ncRNA from 1 species